UGCCAGCAGCCGCGGUAAUACGGAGGGUGCGAGCGUUAAUCGGAAUUACUGGGCGUAAAGCGCAUGCAGGUGGAUGAUUAAGUCAGAUGUGAAAGCCCGGGGCUCAACCUCGGAAUAGCAUUUGAAACUGGUCAUCUAGAGUACUGUAGAGGGGGGUAGAAUUUCAGGUGUAGCGGUGAAAUGCGUAGAGAUCUGAAGGAAUACCAGUGGCGAAGGCGGCCCCCUGGACAGAUACUGACAACUGAGGCGCGAAAGCUAGGGGAGCGAACGGGAUUAGAUA
rnacentral:rRNA from 1 species